rnacentral:rRNA from 1 species
AGUGAACGCUGGCGGUAGGCCUAACACAUGCAAGUCGAACGGCAGCACAGUAAGAGCUUGCUCUUACGGGUGGCGAGUGACGGACGGGUGAGGAAUACAUCGGAAUCUACUUUUUCGUGGGGGAUAACGUAGGGAAACUUACGCUAAUACCGCAUACGACCUACGGGUGAAAGCAGGGGAUCUUCGGACCUUGCGCGAUUGAAGGAGCCGAUGUCGGAUUAGCUAGUUGGCGGGGUAAAGGCCCACCAAGGCGACGAUCCGUAGCUGGUCUGAGAGGAUGAUCAGCCACCCUGGAACUGAGACACGGUCCCGACUCCUACGGGAGGCAGCAGUGGGGAAUAUUGGACAAUGGGCGCAAGCCUGAUCCAGCCAUACCGCGUGGGUGAAGAAGGCCUUCGGGUUGUAAGGCCCUUUUGUUGGGAAAGAAAAGCAGCAGGUUAAUACCCCGCUGUUCUGACGGUACCCAAAGAAUAAGCACCGGCUAACUUCGUG